AACGUAGGUGGCAAGCGUUAUCCGGAUUUACUGGGCGUAAAGGGUGUGCAGGCGGGGUUUCAAGUGGUGUAUGAAAUCUCCAGGCUUUACCUGGAGGGGUUAUGCCAGACUGCAACUCUAGAGGACGAGAGAGGGGGGUGGAAUUCCGGGUGUAGUGGUGAAAUGCGUAGAGAUCCGGAGGAACCCCAGAGGCGAAGGCGGCCCCCUGGCUCGUUCCUGACGCCCAGCCACGAAAGCAUGGGGAGCGAACGGG
rnacentral:rRNA from 1 species